rnacentral:lncRNA from 1 species
GGAAGGGCUGGGGCUGCGGUUCUAGGAGGUGGAUCCUCCCAGGAGCCCACCCCUCAGGGUUGUUGGGUCCCAUUUUCCAAUGUUUGGAAAGGGAAGGGAUUUUGGGGGCAGAGACCUCUCCUGGGUCCUGCUCCAGGAGCUACUCACUGCAGCUUCUCUGAAAGGAUGCGACCGGGGAAGGACAGGGAAGAGCGUCGGUGUCUCCAGUCGCCACUUCCUGUGGGGAGAACUGCUUCCUGUCUUUCCAGUUCUCCGGCAGAGGCAGUGACAGCCCAAGUCUCCUUGGGCUCCGCUCUGGGCAACGCCUCGCCUCGAGGAAUCAGGAAACUACCUCGUCAGCCUUUGCCAAGACAGUCUGAUUCUUCAUCAUCAUCAUCCUCCUCAUCCUGUACAGUCUUUAUUGAGCACCUACUGUGUACUCUAUGUACACCUACUGUGUACUCUAUGCCCAAAACCCUGGACAAGUUAGACCAGGGAGAACCAAAGAGAAGUGUCAGGUCUUUCCAGGACGCGCCCCGUUCCCUGGUUCUGUCAGGAAGGAACAGGCCCUCUGCCGGGUGGCCAUUUGUACACCAGAAAAAAUGCUCCUCAUCAGAAUAGGACUGGGAUUUGGGGUGGUCUCUCCAUUACAGUAGAAAUCAGAGCCAGAGGUGCGCCCCAGAGGAUCACCAGGUAGGAGUGGUCCCCCCACAUGGCAGGGACCAGAGGCUGUGGGGCCGUGACUGCUCACUGCCAUGGCAGGAGAUGGUCACUGCGCACGGCAGAGGCCCGCUCGUGCCCACGUCACACCAGGCAGUUCUGGUGGCGCUCUCUCUCCCUGGGUGUGCCACCUUUCUGUCACUGUGACAAAGUACCCGAGAUAAACAGGAGGGGAAGGUCGGUUGUCCCCUCACCACCCCGUCCACGCUGCUGAAGAUGGAGCCCAGGGCUUGGGCUCGGAGGCCUCAGUCCGUGGUGGAUCCGUCUGUUUGCUCAGCCCAAAGAGAGAAAGCUGCUCCCCCCGGGGGGAUGGGGAGACAGAAGGUUCAGGAAGGGCCCCGGGAUCCCCUGGAGGGCAGGCGCCCAGAGGCCUGACUUCCUCCUGCCAGGCCCCAGCUCCUGAAGGCUCCAUCACCACCUCRCGGCACCGUCAGCUGAGGACUAAGCCCUCAAGGCAUGGCCUUUGGGGAACCUUUAAAAUCCAAACUGUUGCUAAAGCUGCACAAACAAGCAAAUAAACACCCCCAGAAAGUAUACA